AGUCAAAAAGGCUGGCAUCUGUUGUGAUGGUCAGGCAGCUGGGCUCCUUGAAACCACAUCUCUUGGUUAUGGCCUGGAACAUGCACCACUUAAAGGACUGAAAUACAUUUGGUGGGACCUGAACCCUGGAAUUUGAGUUGCUCCUGCCAGAAAGCUCCAUCUCUUUUUGGUUCUCAUCUCCUGAGAGCAAAAUCCUGCUCUGCAUGGAGGAAGAGGAAACAGAAUUCCAGAAAGAACAACUCUUCCAAUGCCUGAAGAUUGGGGUAAAUAUCUUACAACUACAUCUGGCAAUAACCAGAGAAAUGAAAGAAACACAGAUACAAUUUUCUGCAGAAUACAGCAAGAAUCUAAGAGACAGCACAGGAAGCAUCAUUCUUAAGAAUUAAAUAAAAACAGCUGCCCCUAGAGAAGAAUUUUAUGGUUGGCUCUGCCAUAAUAAACAGUUUUAUUAAGCACCAA